rnacentral:lncRNA from 1 species
AGUUUCCUGUCGCGUGGAUGUGUUUCCUCUCUGGCCAUUGCCAUCCGCCCAAAUCUACAGACAUCCCGCAUGUUCCCGGGCUCGUCUCCCCAAUACAGGGCACCAAGCAUCCUACCAAGGCGAAUCCAUUGACCAGGAUUUAAGUUGAGACUCCCCCAGGACCCCGGGUGCAGCAUCUGGGUCCCCCUGCCCCGCCCUGCCUUGCGCCGCAGCCGCUUCCGUUGUCCUGCCAGGCUGUAGACUGCGCAGCCCUCCUGGAGACAGAUGGAAGCUCCUUGGGUCGACAGAUUACAGCUUCUGGAACCCCCUACUCCCUUCAACUCCGAGAUGGACACCCACUGUCCAGGGAGAGGAUGCCUGGAAAUAACAGCUGGGAUCUACAGUGGCCAAAGAGUUGUCUCCGUCUUGCUACAUCGACAAACUGGUGCUCCUGAGUGAGGAUUGUGCCCUGGGAUGGGGGAUUCAGUUUCUUCAUUUAUAGUUGGAAGUGGGUGAAGCCACUUCGGAAGCGUUUUCCUCUCCACUCUGACAACAGGCAAGAGUGAGGGUCCAACAAUACAGAGGAAGUAACGUGUCGCUGCUACUCUUCCAUGCCCAGUGCCAGGAGCGACGGUACACUCCAGAGUGCUGUGCCCUGAUGGGCCUUUGAGUGGCCAGUGCAGUGGAUCAUCAGCCCUGUCUCCCAAGAGCUCCAGUCCCUUCUCCGGAGAGGAAGUGGGUCCACUGGCAGCUCAGGAGGCCAUAGCAGUGAUCUUGGCUGCCGUGUCCUGGUCAUUGGUAGUGCAGGGAAAGGAUGCGGAAAGACGGGCUCCGAGCUCGGGGCGUCUGGCCUGGAGCUUUCCUACACUUGUGUCUUGCUCUGCAGCCUUACGGAAGUGUGGGUGGCGCUUUCUGGAAGCUGCACAAGUCAGUGCUGGGUCUUCGCAACUUGGUGUUCUGUUUCCAGAAACUUGGGGUGUUUGCAUGUGCUAGGUCAGCACAGAUUUCCAAAGGAUCUCUAGGAUUGUCACGUGUGCUCAACAGUCCUCCUCGGCUUUCCAGAAGAGGCUGGAACAGGGCCCUUGAAGAUGUUUGUGGACAUCAGAGGGCCAAAGACGACACAAAGUGAAACUGGAGACACCGCCCCCCCUUGGCAUCAUGAAACUGCCGAUGUUACUGGCUCAUGCAUGGGAGACACCAGCAUACAAAGUCUUGACACCAACACCUCAGAGGGCUGUGUUCUGUCCCCGUGACCAUCAUCUAGUGCCUGGAAAGACUAGUGACAAGAACUUGUUGCCAACUUCCUAUUACCUCCCUAACAGUUGUGCAAUAAACCCCAUAGGUUAAUUCAGUCUGCCUUUUAAA